rnacentral:rRNA from 1 species
UACGGAGGAUGCAAGCGUUAUCCGGAAUGAUUGGGCGUAAAGCGUCCGCAGGUGGCUAUGUAAGUCUGCUGUUAAAGAGUGAGGCUCAACCUCAUAAGAGCAGUGGAAACUACAUAGCUAGAGUGCGUUCGGGGCAGAGGGAAUUCCUGGUGUAGCGGUGAAAUGCGUAGAUAUCUGGAGGAACACCGGUGGCGAAGGCGGCGUUCUGGACUGCAACUGACACUGUAAAACGAAAGCCAGGGGAGCAAACGGG